rnacentral:rRNA from 1 species
GACGAACGCUGGCGGCGUGCUUAACACAUGCAAGUCGAACGGUGAAGCUCCAGCUUGCUGGAGUGGAUCAGUGGCGAACGGGUGAGUAACACGUGAGCAACCUGCCCCUGACUCUGGAGUAAGCGCUGGAAACGUCGUCUAAUACUGGAUACGAGAAGGGUCCGCAUGGGCACUUUCUGGAAAGUUUUUCGGUUGGGGAUGAGCUCGCGGCCUAUCAGCUUGUUGGUGAGGUAAUGGCUCACCAAGGCGACGACGGGUAGCCGGCCUGAGAGGGCGACCGGACAAACUGGGACUGAGACAAGGCCCAGACUCGUACGGGAGGCAGCAGUGGGGAAUAUUGCACAAUGGGCGAAAGCCUGAUGCAGCGACGCCGCGUGAGGGAUGACGGCAUUCGGGUUGUAAACCUCUGUCAGCAGGGAAGAAGCGAAAGUGACGGUACCGGCAGAAGAAGCACCGGCUAACUACGUG